GAGCCUGAAGAUGGACAUCACAUGUGUUGCUGGACAGAAGCAGGAACUCUGAUGGGAUUUCGUAGCUUUUAACAGGAACUAGAAAUGCGGCAGGUGUAACAAGCUUGCUCGGUAGCUCAGCCGGCAGGAUGUAGAAUCCCUGGAUACGAAUCCCGUGAAAAACAUGAUUCACGAUGAAAGAGCUGAAAGAUGAGAGCUUGAAAAACAAGGAAAUUAUGCUUCUCCAGGGAACUUCCUGUAUCUCUGCAACUCUGGAAACUUGCUGCACUGACAACUCUGUUUCAGAGACACACAACAAGCUUGUUGUCUUUCAUUGAACACUGACAGUCAACACUAUUGUGUUAAUUAAUUAUCAUAUGGCUCGACAGUCAUGUUAUGCCAACACAGGCUAAUUUUACAGCUGGCAUAUGGACUGUAUCAAUAUGUGCCAGCCAGAGCAGGAUGGAUGCCCAUUUUUGAAUUUUACCUUCUCUGCACGUUUCUUCUCCCACUAGUUUUAUCAUCAUCCCCGAACUGCUUACUAAAGAUAUCAGUGCUAAGUAAUUUUCAAACUUUGUACUUGAAAAAAAAAACUGCAAUAUUUAGAGUUAGACUUCCAUUUAAAUACUUUAAACCAAUUUUACAGA